rnacentral:rRNA from 1 species
UACGGAGGGAGCUAGCGUUGUUCGGAAUUACUGGGCGUAAAGCGUGCGUAGACGGUUAUGUAAGUCAGAUGUGAAAGCCCCGGGCUCAACCUGGGAAUUGCAUUUGAGACUGCAUAGCUAGGGUGCGGAAGAGGGAAGCGGAAUUUCCGGUGUAGCGGUGAAAUGCGUAGAUAUCGGAAGGAACACCAGUGGCGAAAGCGGCUUCCUGGUCCAGCACCGACGUUCAGGCACGAAAGCGUGGGGAGCAAACAGG